rnacentral:rRNA from 1 species
GGUUAAGCGACUAAGCGUACACGGUGGAUGCCCUGGCAGUCAGAGGCGAUGAAGGACGUGCUAAUCUGCGAAAAGCGUCGGUAAGGUGAUAUGAACCGUUAUAACCGGCGAUGUCCGAAUGGGGAAACCCAGUGCAAUUCGUUGCACUAUCGUUAACUGAAUACAUAGGUUAACGAGGCGAACCGGGGGAACUGAAACAUCUAAGUACCCCGAGGAAAAGAAAUCAACCGAGAUUCCCCCAGUAGCGGCGAGCGAACGGGGAGCAGCCCAGAGUCUGAAUCAGCUUGUGUGUUAGUGGAACGGUCUGGAAAGUCCGACGGUACAGGGUGAUAGUCCCGUACACCAAAAUGCACAGGCUGUGAACUCGAAGAGUAGGGCGGGACACGUGGUAUCCUGUCUGAAUAUGGGGGGACCAUCCUCCAAGGCUAAAUACUCCUGACUGACCGAUAGUGAACCAGUACCGUGAGGGAAAGGCGAAAAGAACCCCGGCGAGGGGAGUGAAAAAGAACCUGAAACCGUGUACGUACAAGCAGUGGGAGCACCUUCGGGUGUGACUGCGUACCUUUUGUAUAAUGGGUCAGCGACUUAUAUUCUGUAGCAAGGUUAACCGUAUAGGGGAGCCGCAGGGAAACCGAGUCUUAACUGGGCGUUAAGUUGCAGGGUAUAGACCCGAAACCCGGUGAUCUAGCCAUGGGCAGGUUGAAGGUUGGGUAACACUAACUGGAGGACCGAACCGACUAAUGUUGAAAAAUUAGCGGAUGACUUGUGGCUGGGGGUGAAAGGCCAAUCAAACCGGGAGAUAGCUGGUUCUCCCCGAAAGCUAUUUAGGUAGCGCCUCGUGAAUUCAUCUUCGGGGGUAGAGCACUGUUUCGGCUAGGGGGUCAUCCCGACUUACCAACCCGAUGCAAACUACGAAUACCGAAGAAUGUUAUCACGGGAGACACACGGCGGGUGCUAACGUCCGUCGUGAAGAGGGAAACAACCCAGACCGCCAGCUAAGGUCCCAAAGUCAUGGUUAAGUGGGAAACGAUGUGGGAAGGCACAGACAGCCAGGAUGUUGGCUUAGAAGCAGCCAUCAUUUAAAGAAAGCGUAAUAGCUCACUGGUCGAGUCGGCCUGCGCGGAAGAUGUAACGGGGCUAAACCAUGCACCGAAGCUGCGGCAGCGACACUAUGUGUUGUUGGGUAGGGGAGCGUUCUGUAAGCCUGCGAAGGUGACCUGUGAGGGUUGCUGGAGGUAUCAGAAGUGCGAAUGCUGACAUAAGUAACGAUAAAGCGGGUGAAAAGCCCGCUCGCCGGAAGACCAAGGGUUCCUGUCCAACGUUAAUCGGGGCAGGGUGAGUCGACCCCUAAGGCGAGGCCGAAAGGCGUAGUCGAUGGGAAACAGGUUAAUAUUCCUGUACUUGGUGUUACUGCGAAGGGGGGACGGAGAAGGCUAUGUUAGCCGGGCGACGGUUGUCCCGGUUUAAGCAUGUAGGCUGAUUGUCCAGGCAAAUCCGGAUAAUCAAGGCUGAGGUGUGAUGACGAGGCACUACGGUGCUGAAGUAACAAAUGCCCUGCUUCCAGGAAAAGCCUCUAAGCAUCAGGUAACAUCAAAUCGUACCCCAAACCGACACAGGUGGUCAGGUAGAGAAUACCAAGGCGCUUGAGAGAACUCGGGUGAAGGAACUAGGCAAAAUGGUGCCGUAACUUCGGGAGAAGGCACGCUGGUGUGUAGGUGAAGUCCCUGCGGAUGGAGCUGAGACCAGUCGAAGAUACCAGCUGGCUGCAACUGUUUAUUAAAAACACAGCACUGUGCAAACACGAAAGUGGACGUAUACGGUGUGACGCCUGCCCGGUGCCGGAAGGUUAAUUGAUGGGGUUAUCCGUAAGGAGAAGCUCUUGAUCGAAGCCCCGGUAAACGGCGGCCGUAACUAUAACGGUCCUAAGGUAGCGAAAUUCCUUGUCGGGUAAGUUCCGACCUGCACGAAUGGCGUAAUGAUGGCCAGGCUGUCUCCACCCGAGACUCAGUGAAAUUGAACUCGCUGUGAAGAUGCAGUGUACCCGCGGCAAGACGGAAAGACCCCGUGAACCUUUACUAUAGCUUGACACUGAACAUUGAGCCUUGAUGUGUAGGAUAGGUGGGAGGCUUUGAAGCGUGGACGCCAGUCUGCGUGGAGCCAACCUUGAAAUACCACCCUUUAAUGUUUGAUGUUCUAACGUUGGCCCCUUACCGGGGUUGCGGACAGUGUCUGGUGGGUAGUUUGACUGGGGCGGUCUCCUCCCAAAGCGUAACGGAGGAGCACGAAGGUUAGCUAAUCCUGGUCGGACAUCAGGAGGUUAGUGCAAUGGCAUAAGCUAGCUUGACUGCGAGCGUGACGGCGCGAGCAGGUGCGAAAGCAGGUCAUAGUGAUCCGGUGGUUCUGAAUGGAAGGGCCAUCGCUCAACGGAUAAAAGGUACUCCGGGGAUAACAGGCUGAUACCGCCCAAGAGUUCAUAUCGACGGCGGUGUUUGGCACCUCGAUGUCGGCUCAUCACAUCCUGGGGCUGAAGUAGGUCCCAAGGGUAUGGCUGUUCGCCAUUUAAAGUGGUACGCGAGCUGGGUUUAGAACGUCGUGAGACAGUUCGGUCCCUAUCUGCCGUGGGCGCUGGAGAAUUGAGGGGGGCUGCUCCUAGUACGAGAGGACCGGAGUGGACGCAUCACUGGUGUUCGGGUUGUCAUGCCAAUGGCACUGCCCGGUAGCUAAAUGCGGAAGAGAUAAGUGCUGAAAGCAUCUAAGCACGAAACUUGCCCCGAGAUGAGUUCUCCCUGAGACUAUAAGUCUCCUGAAGGAACGUUGAAGACGACGACGUUGAUAGGCCGGGUGUGUAAGCGCAGCGAUGCGUUGAGCUAACCGGUACUAAUGAACCGUGAGGCUUAACCUU